AUUGUUUCUCUUUUCCUGAGAGCUGAAGGGCACUGUUCACAGAUCUCAAGCAGCACCCUGGAGGAACGUAAGAGGUGGGUUUGGGAGCAGGGGAGAGCUAAGGAAUGAAAGGUUUAGUUGAAGAAGAGGAAAGAGAGGGAAAGAGUAUCAUUUGGUUUCUGUUUUAGGUAGAUUCACGUUGGGCACAACUUUGUCCAAAACCAGUUAGACUCAGAUAAGGAAGUUAUCCAGAACUUGCAGAUACCCACUGAGCUUCCUUAAUUUCUUGGCCACCCUGGUUUAUGAUGCUAAGGCUUAACAUUUUAGAGACAAAAAUGGCACAUCUGGUCAUCUUAUUCCAAUCACAUGUCACUCUGUCAGAGGCAUCUGCCAUAACACUGACCUCACACACUUGUUGCUAUAGUCUAAUGGUGUAGCUAGUGCUAUAGAUACAAUUAUUACUAUUUUUGAGACAGAGUCUUACUUUGUUACCCAGGCUGGAGUGCAGUAGGGUGAUCUUGGCUCACUGCAACCUCCGCCUCUUGGGUUCAAGCAAUUCUCCUGCCCUAGCCUCAUGAGUAACUGGGACUACAGGCUCCUGCUACCACGCCCAGCUAAUUUUUGUAUUUUUAGUAGAGAUGGGGCUUCACCAUAUUGGUCAGGCUGGUCUUGAACUCCUGACCUGGUGAUCUGCCCACUUUGACCUCCCAAAGUGCUGAGAUUACAGGCGUGAGCCACCACACCCGGCCUAGAUACUAUUAUUAUUGGUAUUCCAAUGUUAUAUAUGUGUUAAAUGGGACACAGGAAAGUUAACGUGCCCAGAUCGUAACUGACAUAGCUAGGGUUUGAAUCAAAGCAUCACUCACAAGAGACCAAAAUUUAUAGUAAACAGCAAAAUUAUGAGAUUAUGUUAUUUUUUAAAUUACAUUUAAGUUUCAAUUAUUUAGGUUGUUUUGCAUCUAGGUAAUUUUCUUAGAAUGAAAAAACUAUAUAUUUUGCUGAAAUUUUUUCAUAUUCUCCCAAACAUGACAUGAUAGCAGGAUAAUCCUCCACACCCAAAUUUCCCAACAUGAUUCAAGCAAAAAUCAUUUGUGCAAAAUUAUUUGAGCAUUUCAUCAGUUUUCUCAAAAGCCUCUCCUAAGACUCUGAUAUUCAAAUAAUUUUCUUUUGAAGUACCUGAGCAAUUGGUUUGAUUGAGUUUACAUUUAGACUCAUAUAUUAGCAUGCGGCGGCUCUGGAAAAAUGGGAUGUACAAGGACAUAACUAGCUUUAAGAGGAGAACUGUCUGCUAGAGUGGGAGUUAAUUUGAUAAUAUUAGUGAUAUUUUCAUCUCAAGAUGGCCUCUGCUUCCCUAUGCAACCUGGCAACAACAAGGACUUCGAUAAUGAGGGCUGAGCUAAUGAGGACCUGCUGCCAUUUCACAGGCAUGAACUAUCCUGCCUUCCUUAGGGAACAGCUUAGCUGAUCUGAUGACAGCAUUCAGUGAAUUUUGAGGCAGACCCUAGGACGACCUCCAGUGAUCCCUGCCACCUGGCACUCAUGCUUCUGUGUAAUUCUUUCCCCUUGGGUGUGGGUGGGACCUGUCAGUUUCCUUUAAUAGAUAGAUCACGAGAUGUAUGUGAUUACAUGUACAUUAGUAUGUUACAGAAGGUUGUAAUGUCCUUCUUGCUAACACAUUCUUCCUUCCUGGUUUUGAUGAAUUGAGGAGUCCUGCUGUGGGCUGCUCUAUGAGUGGCCUAUGUGUCCGGAACUGAAGAUAAUUUCCAACUCCCAGCCAGCAAAACACAGAGGUCCUCAGUCCAACAUCCCAUGAAGAACUGAAUUCUGCCAACGACCAUAUGAGAUGAGAUUGCAAUCCUGGUCAGAAAUGCGACUGCAGCUUUCAGAUGAAACUCUGGAAUAGAGAACCCAACAAACAGAUGCCUGGACUCCCGACCUGAACCCACAGCAAUGGAAGCUCACUUGCUGAAGCUCAUGUACUUGCCCCUGAAGGUUAAAGCUGGUGUCUGCCCCUCCAGGAAGACUCUUUCCAUCAAAGCAUGUUCCACUCUCAUCCCUGGUCUACAGAAGGCAUCCACUUUUCAAGAAUGCCAACACUUCUCUCACCAAAGUACAUUUUUCUGGAGUUGGGUUUUGCUCCCCGUGGAAUGGCCUUACUGUUCAAAUUCAGAUGCAUUUGGCAAGUUCAGAAGACAAGAGUGAAGAUGAGAAGCCAUUGGCCUCAUGUGGAGUGUGAGUCUUUCUCUAGCUCCCCACUGCACACGCAAGCUUGCUUUCCAUCCAUAUGACAUGGUCCAGAAGUUCUCCUGUAUAUUCAUCAGCUUGGGCUACCACAGGACAAAAGACUUAGCAGCUGAGUAACAGAAAUGUACUUUCUCAUAGUUCUAGGGUCUGGAUCAGGUGCAGCGUGGUCAGGUUCUGGUGAGGACUCUCUUCCUGUAUUGCAGACAGCUGCCUUCCUACUGUGCGCUUGCAUGGCCUUUCCUCAGGAUGCACAUGCAGAGAGAGAGAGAGCUCCAGUAUCUCUUCUUCUUUUUUUGGAUGGGCACCACUUCUGUUGGAUUAGGGCUCCACUUUUACAACCUCAUUUAACUUUAGUCCUUAAAGCCCCCGUCUCCAGUAUAGUUGCAUGUGGGAUUAGGGCGUCAACAUAUGAAUUUAGGGAGAAGGAAGACAAUGCAGUCCCUAUUUGACAGAAAUCUCAGGGUUCUAGAAAACAUUUCAUGCUUGAAAAUUGUUGCCAGAAAUAUUUGAAAUUGAGCAAGUGGAAUUUAAAGGGAAAGACUUUGCCUUUAGAUUCUAAGCUCCAGGAGGGCAGGGACUGUGCUUCAGUAUUUCAGCACAGAGCACAGCAGCAGGCCCUGAUAAACGUGAAUUCAGGAAAGGCAGCCCUUCCUGAAGAUAGAAGCUCACUAGUUUGUGGAACUCUUACUGUGUCACCUUCAUUUGGCUCCUGUUAGGAAUCCAGAGAGAGGGUAAAAGGGUUCCUGUCACCCCUGAAGAUUGACUAGCCUAGAAUUUUCCAGGUUUCCAGAAUUUUCCAUUUUCUGCUGUCCCUUCCCUGUUCUGGUUCUGUUUCUGAGGACACAGCUGCCAGCUUUCAGCUCGAUGCUCUAUUUGAACCAUCCUGAGAGACAUAAAAUUUUCCACUCAGGAUCUAGUAAAAUAAAAACUUUUAAACAAAAUACACACCACACACACACACACACACACACACACACACACAUACAUGCACACAAGAACAGUUAGUUUAAAAAGCAGCCUACAAAAAUCUCUUGUUCUCAUGAGGAUUUCUGCCAUCAUGGGUAAUUUUUUUUAGCAGUUUUGU